rnacentral:rRNA from 1 species
GUGAGGAAUAUUGGUCAAUGGGCGAGAGCCUGAACCAGCCAAGUAGCGUGAAGGAUGACUGCCCUAUGGGUUGUAAACUUCUUUUAUAAAGGAAUAAAGUCGGGUAUGGAUACCCGUUUGCAUGUACUUUAUGAAUAAGGAUCGGCUAACUCCGUGCCAGCAGCCGCGGUAAUACGGAGGAUCCGAGCGUUAUCCGGAUUUAUUGGGUUUAAAGGGAGCGUAGAUGGAUGUUUAAGUCAGUUGUGAAAGUUUGCGGCUCAACCGUAAAAUUGCAGUUGAUACUGGAUAUCUUGAGUGCAGUUGAGGCAGGCGGAAUUCGUGGUGUAGCGGUGAAAUGCAUAGAUAUCACGCAGAACUCCGAUUGCGAAGGCAGCGCACCGGCGCCCUACUGACGCUCAGGCACGAAAGCGUGGGUAUCGAACAGG